GUUUUGUGAAAUUUCAAAGCGUUCGUUUGUGUUGUUAGGGAUUGUAAAGUACGUUGUUGUUGUUACAAUAACAACAAACAAACCACCAAAAAAAACAAAACGUGUGACGGACGGUGUCGAGAAAUAAUUAAUAAAUAAAAAAAAAUAUAUACACAACAAACGACAAUCAUUGUCAUUAUUUAAUUGAAUCUGUUUAUUGUGAAGAGCAACACAAACGACACCUAGAUAGCAAGCAAUCCAUCCGCCGGGAAUAGUAAAAAAAAGGUGAUCAAAAUGAUGAAGCCAUUGAUGAUGAUAAUGAUUUUCUUCUAUGGCCAUGCAAAGUGAAUUGCAGUGAUAAUUGUGCGUCAAAAUUUUGUAAGUUUUUCUUGGUUUUAAUUUGAAAGAAAGAAAAUCAAUGAGUGGCAAAUAAUAAAAAUAAAGAGUAUAGUGAGUAGUGGUGUGGCAAUUAUUGUGCGUGUGAAGUGUUUUUUAUUUUGAUGCCAAAGGAAGGAGUUCCUUCUAGUUUUUUGGCUUGGCCACCAGUGUUUGCGUUUGGUGUAUGCGUUUGCUUGUGGAGUUAUUGAAACCAGCGACCACCAACUGUGGGCGACAGACAACAGCAACAGAAAAAUCAAAAGAAAAGUGAUUGAAAAUAUUAAAGAAAUAUACCACAAUUGAAGUGAAUUUAUAAAAUCAGAGCAUAAAUAUAAAUAUCUGCCGGUCAGUCUGUUAAAUUUUCCCAUAAAUGAUUUGAAGGCAAAAAAGAAAAGAAGUUUUAAUGUCUAAUCGAUUACAAGUGUUUUAGCCUAACCUUAGUGUUUCCCACAAAAGAGAAGUGUUCAAUUCAAGAAUUUACAAUUAUUAUUCUUGAGGAUUAAUUACCCAGUCCUUACUAGCUUCUCCUCUAGAUCAUCUUUCAUCAAAUCUCAAAAAAACAAGAUUUCAAAGCCAUGGAUUUAAAUGUCAACAAAAACUUCCACCACAACCAAUCAAUAUGCGAAUAAUCGCAAAAUAAUUAAAAAAAAAACUCAAUUUACAAAAAACCUUUUGGCCAUAUCCCUUAUGGCAUACUGGGAUAUUAUUAAUGAUGGUAUUAUUGAAGGCAAAAAAUGAAAUGCAACAAUAAUCACACAAAAGCUGAGUAUAUAAAAUUACACAUAAAAAGUGUAGGCAGCUCGAGGGUGUCUGGCCAGCUCAAAAAAGGGAAGAGAAAAGUCCUCACUCCAUAAAAUUGAUAUUUCGCACCAAAUUGGCCAUGCAAUACAGAAAAAGGAGCAAAAUCGAAAAAGAAAAUAAAAAGCAAAUAAUAAUAAAUAUUCCAAAAAUAUAAACUCACUCUUCCAUAAUCCCUUAUAGCACAACAAAAAAAAGGGAAUAUUUUUGAAGAGCCUCAAGCAGCACAAUCGAAAUAAGGAAAAAAAAAUCACUACAACUGCCAUUAUAUACUCCUCGACAUUUAUACAAUAAUUGUUGAAAGUCCUGCUUGGCUGCAACAGCCAGGACUAAGGCAACUCACAGCCAGUCGCAGACGUCAACUCAUAGCCAUUGUAUGAAAUACCGCAAUUACGAUAAUCGCUGAAGUUCAGGGUACACAAAUCCUUCCCCCACCCCUCAGCCAUUGUGUUGUACUGUAAACCUUUUCGUUUUCCGGUGGUUUUGUGUUGAUUACAACGACUCAUCAUCAUACAGAAAGAGAAGAAAACCAAAAAAAAAAAAUAGCUUUUCCGUUCACCGCGGCCAGCAUCCAUAGCCAUAGCGGAAGACUAGAAAGCAAGCGAAGGCCUGUUUGUGGGGGGCGGCUGUCUAGAAGCUCAACAGCAAUAAGAACCAAAACGGGCUCAUAUCCCUGUCUAUCCCCAUUAUUUUCGAUUUAUUUGUUUGUUGUUGGCUGUAACCGCAGUUUUAACUCUUUUUUUCCGUUUCGUUUGCUACAGCGGCAUCUUUCCACUCUAUCAACAACUCUAUAAAUCCACCCCACCGCUCAACUGUGCACAUCCCUUUUUUGGGUGUGAGGAAAGUUUAACAAAAGCCAUUAAAUAAACAAAACUACAAAUAAAAAAAAAAAAACGAAAUAACCCCCCCUUGCUUCAACCAAAAAGUAUCCUGCUCCAAACAAGUUAUCCUUGGAAAUUGUUUUUUAAACAUUCGCGGUUUUCCCCAUUAAGUGGGAGGUUUUGCUUGAAAACUUUCCAGUUUCCAAUUCGGUGCUCAAAAUAAACAUAGAAUAUAUAAAUUUAACAAAAAAUUUUAACUCCAUAAUAAACGGUCGUGUGGUACGCGAAGGUCCUGGUCCUUGUUGUCGUCAUCGUCAUCAUAGCCUUGAGUAACGUGUGAAGCGGCAUCAUCAUUAUCGCUGUCACAAUUUUUGGGCCAUUUUCCCACCACAAAGAAUGUCAUCGACAAAAUGUGGUCUAAAAAUGAUUUUUAUAGCGAUCAUUUUAGUCAUCAUCGUAAAUGGUAAGUCAAAUAAAAGAAAAAAACAAAAAAAAAAAAUUAAAAAUAAGAGUAUUUUGCCAACAUUUUCCUGAGUAUCAGUAUUUAACCAGUUUUUACUGAUUUUCCAAAAAAUUUCGGGAAAAUUCCAACUUUUAAAAAAUUUUAUAAUUAAAUUAAAUUAAGACAAUUUCUCUCCACGAAUUUACUUUGAAACGGCUUCGUCCAUGAUUUCGUCUUAUAAGUCUUUUUUCUCUUUAAAUUACCUUCGCUUCAAUGCCUUAACUGAUUUCCAUUCUUUUCGAUACUUAUUUGCAUUUUCUUUUGCGUUUUUCAUUUAUCUAAGCUUCAAUAAUACUGUUCAGUUGUUCCUUAAUUGAAAAUAAUCAGAUUUACCAUCUUUUUGUUUGUCGGUCUCGCAAGCCAUGUCAUGAUGACCUCUAACCUUUUGUGGGUUGCCCUUUUCAGCGUUAGCAUUGUCUCUGAAAGAUCGACCUUUAUGGUAACACAAUAAUUUUUCAUUGAUUGUUUUUUGAUUUACCAGGGGGCAGUUAAAGUUCCUUCAAACUCUUUCCAGUCAUUUCCUCGCAACCCACUUCCGUUGGGCUAUGCAAAAUGGAUGGCUUUCAUUUUGUUGCUAUACUUAGACUGGUUUUCUAUGUUGGUUGGUUGCUGAGAAUAGUGCCAGUGAUUUGAACCUUGAAUAGAAAACCCUAUGCUAAGCGAACGUAGAGAAAAAAGAAAGACACUCACACA
rnacentral:sRNA from 1 species